CCUGAUCCAGCCAUGCCGCGUGAGUGAUGAAGGCCCUAGGGUCGUAAAGCUCUUUCGCCUGUGAAGAUAAUGACGGUAGCAGGUAAAGAAACCCCGGCUAACUCCGUGCCAGCAGCCGCGGUAAUACGGAGGGGGUUAGCGUUGUUCGGAAUUACUGGGCGUAAAGCGCACGUAGGCGGAUCGGAAAGUUGGGGGUGAAAUCCCGGGGCUCAACCCCGGAACUGCCUCCAAAACUAUCGGUCUAGAGUUCGAGAGAGGUGAGUGGAAUUCCGAGUGUAGAGGUGAAAUUCGUAGAUAUUCGGAGGAACACCAGUGGCGAAGGCGGCUCACUGGCUCGAUACUGACGCUGAGGUGCGAAAGUGUGGGGAGCAAACAGGAUUAGAUACCCUGGUAGUCCACACCGUAAACGAUGAAUGCCAGUCGUCGGGUAGCAUGCUAUUCGGUGACACACCUAACGGAUUAAGCAUUCCGCCUGGGGAGUACGGUCG
rnacentral:rRNA from 1 species